GGCACAGUCGCCCAGUGGUUAGCACUGCUGCCUCACAGCAAGUUGGUCGUUGGUUCAAAUCCGGCCCGGGGCCU